UACGGGGGGGGCAAGCGUUGUUCGGAAUUACUGGGCGUGAAGGGCUCGUAGGUGGCCAACUAAGUCAGACGUGAAAUCCCUCGGCUUAACCGGGGAACUGCGUCUGAUACUGGAUGGCUUGAGUUUGGGAGAGGGAUGCGGAAUUCCAGGUGUAGCGGUGAAAUGCGUAGAUAUCUGGAGGAACACCGGUGGCGAAGGCGGCAUCCUGGACCAACACUGACACUGAGGAGCGAAAGCCAGGGGAGCAAACGGG
rnacentral:rRNA from 1 species